UCCAGAUGGCUCAGUGGUAAAGAAGCUGCCUGUCAAGCAGCAGACCCGGGUUUGAUCCCUGGGUCAGGAA
rnacentral:tRNA from 1 species